GAUGAACGCUGGCGGCGUGCCUAAUACAUGCAAGUCGAGCGAACAGAUGAGGAGCUUGCUCCUCUGACGUUAGCGGCGGACGGGUGAGUAACACGUGGAUAACCUACCUAUAAGACUGGGAUAACUUCGGGAAACCGGAGCUAAUACCGGAUAAUAUAUUGAACCGCAUGGUUCAAUAGUGAAAGACGGUUUUGCUGUCACUUAUAGAUGUAUCCGCGCCGCAUUAGCUAGUUGGUAAGGGAACGGCUUACCAAGGCAACGAUGCGUAGCCGACCUGAGAGGGUGAUCGGCAACACUGGAGCUGAGACACGGUCCAGACUCAUACGGGAGGCAGCAGUAGGGAAUCUUCCGCAAUGGGCGAAAGCCUGACGGAGCAACGCCGAGUGAGUGAUGAAGGUAUUCGGAUCGUAAAACUCUGUUAUUAGGGAAGAACAAAUGUGUAAGUAACUAUGCACGUCUUGACGGUACCAAAUCAGAAAGCCACGGCUAACUACGUG
rnacentral:rRNA from 1 species